rnacentral:rRNA from 1 species
CAGUAGCCGCGGUAAAACGUAGGUGGCAAGCGUUGUCCGGAAUUAUUGGGCGUAAAGGGCUCGCAGGCGGUUUCUUAAGUCUGAUGUGAAAGCCCCCGGCUCAACCGGGGAGGGUCAUUGGAAACUGGGAAACUUGAGUGCAGAAGAGGAGAGUGGAAUUCCACGUGUAGCGGUGAAAUGCGUAGAGAUGUGGAGGAACACCAGUGGCGAAGGCGACUCUCUGGUCUGUAACUGACGCUGAGGAGCGAAAGCGUGGGGAGCGAACAGGAUUAGAUACCCGAGUAGUCCCUGUCUCUUAUAU